ACUCAAAUGAAUUGACGGGGACCCGCACAAGCGGUGGAGCGUGUUGUUUAAUUCGAUGGUAAGCGAAGAACCUUACCCAGGCUUGACAUCCUUGGAAUUUCUCCGAAAGGAGAGAGUGUCUUCGGAAGCCAAGUGACAGGUGAUGCAUGGCCGUCGUCAGCUCGUGUCGUGAGAUGUUUGGUUAAGUCCAUCAACGAGCGCAACCCUUUUAGUUAGUUGUAUUUCUCUAGCUAGACUGCCCUGGUAACAGGGAGGAAGGAGGGGAUGAUGUCAGGUCAGUAUUUCCCUUACGUCUGGGGCUACAAACACGCUACAAUGGCCAGUACAAAGGGCAGCCAACCCGCAAGGGGGAGCAAAUCCCAUCAAAGCUGGUCUCAGUUCGGAUAGCAGGCUGAAACUCGCCUGCUUGAAGCUGGAAUCGCUAGUAACGGUAGGUCAGCACACUACCGUGAAUACGUUCCCGGGUCUUGUACACACCGCCCGU
rnacentral:rRNA from 1 species